rnacentral:lncRNA from 1 species
CGGGGGAAGGCGGGCCCUGUGUUUGAGGGCGGGCCUAAGAGACAGGCUUUACUAAGGAAGCCGAGAGGGAAGUAGCGUGGGUAAGAUCAGUGGAGGGACGUGGAGGUACCGAUAUUUUAUGUACUUCCAAAAGUGUAUGAACAUGCAAAUUAUAUAUAAACUAUUCAUUUGCGUAAACCACUGAGUUACCGUAACUGCCACCAGUGGCUUUUUUCUCCCUCUCCUAUCCUACGGGAUUUCUUUCGUAAGUCAGCCGGUAGGACCCAUGCAGGAGGGCCAGAAAACAGACAAGAAAGAGAAGGGACGAAAAAAGGAGUACAAUCACCUUCAUUUCCCUCUUCCUACUCAUCUUUAAGGAUGAUGCCAUGAGUUUGCCCCUAUAGCUUCAGGAAUGGCCCAGUCCAACCGCCUCAAUCUUUCACUGUUUCGCACCAUCACUCUGGGACAAGGUGCUGCUUCCAAGGUCACCCCAGCUGCCAAAGCCUUAACAGAGGCUGGACAAGCCAGCUUAGGAAAAGUGCUCCCUGACUCGCAGCAUCUGUUAAUCCAGCCUAAGCCCACAGUCCUGGCUAGGUCCUGACACAUGUGACAAGUGCAUGACAUCUGGUGGCUGCAGAAUGAAGAUAUAACGGUCAAACAGAAGCCUGGGAGUGUUGGUGGCUGUGAAGUGGUCCAAACUAAGGAUGGUUUUACAUUAUGUGAAGCAGAAGAACAGAGUGUGCAAUCAGAUCAAGCCUCACCUGCAGCCAGGACUGCCUCUUGAUUCUGCAACUUCAGCUGAUAAACUGCUUUUAUCUUUAAUGAGUUUUGAGUUAAGUUCCCUAUGAUUAGAAGCCAGAAUAUCCCUAACCUACUUACCCUAUCUCCUAGGAGAACACAGGGAUAUAGGUGGGAAGUCAUUACAGAUUUGCUGUUUGUAUUAAAGCCAUGGUACUGAGCUAGAAAGGCCUGAAGCAGCCACGAGGCACAAAGCAAGCCAGGCCACUGGGUUCCCUGUGGGGGAAGACUAGCUGGAUGAGAAGGAGGCUCAGUGAAGGGCCUCUGCCAGGCAGCAGGCAGAGCUCACAUGAACAUAGCCACUCUUCCCCCACAGACCUAUCUGUCUAUCAUGGGGGUGUUGCUUUGGGGUCUUUAUGCUCAGGGGUUAGGGAACUUUGAAGUACACGACCCUUUAACCCUUUGUUGCCCUGUGUUGCAGCAUCAGCCUCUCCCUUUACCAACUGAAGAGCCUCUUUUUGAAUUCUGCCCUUGAUAACACUCACUUUUGAAGUGACAGGAGGAAUUUUAUCUUCUGCUUCUUUGGCUUCCUGGGAACUCAAGCUCCUUUCUCCUUUGGAAACAGCACCAUCUUGCUGACCUUGCACAAGCACUGUUUCCCGCUCAGCCUCACCCCCUGGCCCUGGUCCUUCUGGUCUCCCAAUGAAGUUGUUUUCUCUUUUUGAGCCCCAUGUCUCCCAGAGUAGCCUUGGGGAUCGGGGAGAGUUCACAAUAGCUGCAGACUUCUCAGGAGUAGCGUUUCUUUCCCCACUCCCUCCUGGCUUCUUUCGAGGGCGUCCUCGCUUCCUUUUUGCUUCACUUACUGUAGUAUCCUGUGUUUCGUGCUUCAUUUCUUUAACUGGUGGGUCCUGCCCACUGGCCUCACUCAGAGGCACUUCAGCUGUCCUUUUGAUACCCUUGUCAUGAGGUCUUGGAUCACUACUUAUGCCUACCUCCCUGUUCUCUGCACCUCGAGGCAGAAUGGGUGCUCUAGGUGGAACUCGCCCAGGCCCAAGCCCUAGGCCAGCCCCAAGCCCAGCUCCAAGCCCGGGCCCUGGUCCAGCUCCAAGCCCAGGCCCUAACCCAGGCCCCAGACCA